rnacentral:misc_RNA from 1 species
AGAAUGGUCAGUUGUUAAGAAUUUGUAUGAAGAAAUGAAGGAACGGAUUGAAUCAACUAUGGAAAGAGGUAACAUUUCAAAAGAAAUAAGGGUCAAACACAAAGGAUUUUCAGAAUGGAACUGUAAUGUAACAAAGAAAGAUCAUCAGUCUAUUGUGCAGAUUGUUCUUGAUGGAAGGGAUGAAACUGCUGUGGACAACAAUGGGUACCGAUUGCCAACACUUGUGUACGUGGCAAGAGAGAAAAGACCCCAAUAUCCUCAUCACUUCAAAGCUGGAGCCAUGAAU